CUUAGUGGCGGACGGGUGAGUAACGCGUGGGUAACCUGCCCCAUACCGGGGGAUACCACCUGGAAACAGGUGCUAAUACCGCAUAAGCGCACGGGAGCGCAUGCUCCUGUGUGAAAAACUCCGGUGGUAUGGGAUGGACCCGCGUCUGAUUAGCUAGUUGGAGGGGUAAAAGCACACCAAGGCGACGAUCAGUAGCCGGCCUGAGAGGGUGGACGGCCACAUUGGGACUGAGACACGGCCCAGACUCCUACGGAAGGCAGCAG
rnacentral:rRNA from 1 species